rnacentral:tRNA from 1 species
GCCGGGAUGGCGGAAUUGGUAGACGCGCCGGACUCAAAAUCCGGUGGGGUUAAACCCGUGAGAGUUCGAGUCUCUCUCUCGGCA